AUGGCCGACGGCGCCGCCUCCCUCCUCCCCACCGCCGGAUACGACGGCGAGGACCGAAUCAGCGCCCUCCACGACGACCUCCUCUGUGCCAUCAUCUCCCGCCUCUCCGUCACGGACGCCGCCCGCACCACCGCCCUCUCCCCCCGCUGGUGCCACCUCUGGCGCUCCACCCCGCUCGCCCUCGACGAUGUCCACCUCCACGAGUCCGUCCGUGACGCCGUAGUCCCCCGGAUCCUUGCUGACCAUCCGGGGCCCUUCCGCGCCGUCCGCCUCGCCGAAUGCAGGUCAGCCUCCCUGGACCAUGAGCUCGCCGAGUGGCCGCGCCUCCUCGCCACCAAGGGCAUACAGAAACUCGCCCUCGUCAACAAGCACGCCCAGGCGCAGCACACCUUCUCGCCCCUCCCGGCUGACAUCCUCCGUUGCGCCUCUCUCCAGAGCAUCUCGUUGAGCUUCUGGACGUUCCCCGUUGACCUCUCCGACGUCUUUCUUCCCAAGCUCCAGAGUCUCAAUAUGACAAGAGUUGACAUGAGCGACCAUGACCUGGAGUGCUUGCUUGCUGUCAGCCCCGUUCUGAAGAUCAUUGUGCUCGCCCGCAACAAGCCCAAGCAUGUGCAUCUCCGCAGCCAAAGCCUCCAAUGCGUGGUCAUUGGACGCUCCGCGGUGAAGGAGGUCGCCGUGAUGGAAACACCACUCUUGGAUCGCCUUAUCUUGUUGGAUCCGCCUCGUGUUGUCGGAGGUGCUGGUAUGAGGGUCAAGUUUGCCUGUGCACCCAACCUGCGGGUGCUUGGCUACCUGGAGCCCAGAGGUCACAAGCUGCAGAUCGGCGACCAUGUCAUCGAGCCAAACAUGAAGGCAAGCCCAGGAACCGUGGUUCCAAGCGUCAAGAUAUUGGCCUUGAAGGUGAAUUUUGGUGUCUUGGGGGAGGUCAACAUGCUUGCCCGUUUCCUUAGAUGCUUUCCCAAUGUUGACACGCUUCACAUCGAGUCUCUCCGGCAUGAUCCAUUCGUAGCUGGCUAUGAUCCAACGGGGGAGUACCAUGCCAAGUUCUGGCAGGAGGUCAGUCCAAUUAAAUGCUUGAGAUCACACGUCAAGAGGAUGGUUUUCCACAAAUAUCGAGGGUAUCAAAACGAAUUUGAAUUCCUCAAGUUCAUCGCCAAGGGUGCGCUGGAGCUGCAGUCUUUGGUGCUUGUGCCGCGUGAAGAAAAUUUUGCUUUACGACAUGAGAUGGAUGAGAUGAUAGACGGAUUGGGGUGUCCACGGUUUCGAGAAUGGACCUCCAAAGUAUUGCUGGUGUUGACUAAAGUAGACGUUGCUUUUAGUUUGAAGGAAGCAUCUGAUCUUACUGUCGACGACCCUUUUCCCUGCUCAAUGCAUGGCUAA
rnacentral:rRNA from 1 species